GACGAACGCUGGCGGCGUGCCUAAUACAUGCAAGUUGAGCGCUGAAGGUUGGUACUUGUACCAACUGGAUGAGCAGCGAACGGGUGAGUAACGCGUGGGGAAUCUGCCUUUGAGCGGGGGACAACAUUUGGAAACGAAUGCUAAUACCGCAUAAAAACUUUAAACACAAGUUUUAAGUUUGAAAGAUGCAAUUGCUUCACUCAAAGAUGAUCCCGCGUUGUAUUAGCUAGUUGGUGAGGUAAAGGCUCACCAAGGCGAUGAUACAUAGCCGACCUGAGAGGGUGAUCGGCCACAUUGGGACUGAGACGCGGCCCAAACUCCUACGGGAGGCAGCAGUAGGGAAUCUUCGGCAAUGGACGAAAGUCUGACCGAGCAACGCCGCGUGAGUGAAGAAGGGUUUCGGAUCGUAAAACUCUGUUGGUAGAGAAGAACGUUGGUGAGAGUGGAAAGCUCAUCAAGUGACGGUAACUACCCAGAAAGGGACGGCUAACUACGUG
rnacentral:rRNA from 1 species